AAUUUCUGACAAUGGGCGCAAGCCUGAUCCAGCCAUGCCGCGCGAGUGAAGAACGCCUAAGGGUUGUAAAGCUCCUUCGGACGGCAAGAAAUCGCACAAGCUAAUACCCCGCGCGGAUGACGGUACCGUCAUAAAAAGCCCCGCCCAACUACGUGCCAGCAGCCGCGGUAAUACGUAGGGUGCGAGCGUUAAUCGGAAUUACUGGGCGUAAAGCGUGCGCAGGCGGUUGAUUAAGACAGGCGUGAAAUCCCCGGGCUUAACCUGGGAACUGCGCUUGUGACUGGUCAGCUAGAGUACAGCAGAGGGGGGUGGAAUUCCACGUGUAGCAGUGAAAUGCGUAGAGAUGUGGAGGAACACCGAUGGCGAAGGCAGCCCCCUGGGCCGAUACUGAAGCUCAUGCACGAAAGCGUGGGUAGCAAACAGG
rnacentral:rRNA from 1 species